rnacentral:rRNA from 1 species
UAAUACGGAGGGUGCAAGCGUUAUCCGGAUUUACUGGGUUUAAAGGGUGCGUAGGUGGAUAGAUAAGUCAGCGGUGAAAUCUCCGGGCUUAACUCGGAAACUGCCAUUGAUACUAUCUGUCUUGAAUAUCCUGGAGGUGAGCGGAAUAUGUCAUGUAGCGGUGAAAUGCUUAGAUAUGACAUAGAACACCUAUUGCGAAGGCAGCUCACUACGGGAUUAUUGACACUGAGGCACGAAAGCGUGGGGAUCAAACAGGAUUAGAUACCCUGGUAGUCCACGCCCUAAACGAUGGAUACUCGACAUCAGCGAUACACUGUUGGUGUCUGAGCGAAAGCAUUAAGUAUCCCACCUGGGAAGUACGACCGCAAGGUUG